rnacentral:rRNA from 1 species
AGAGUUUGAUCAUGGCUCAGGAUGAACGCUGGCGGCGUGCUUAACACAUGCAAGUCGAGCGGGUAUUUGGAGAGCUUGCUUUUAAAAUAUCUUAGCGGCGGACGGGUGAGUAACGUGUGGGCAACCUGCCUCAUACAGAGGGAUAAUCAUGUGAAAACGUGACUAAUACCGCAUGUCAUUAUUUAAGGGCAUCCUUAAAUAAGAAAAGGAGAAAUCCGGUAUGAGAUGGGCCCGCAUCUGAUUAGCUAGUUGGUGAGAUAACAGCCCACCAAGGCGACGAUCAGUAGCCGACCUGAGAGGGUGACCGGCCACAUUGGGACUGAGACACGGCCCAAACUCCUACGGGAGGCAGCAGUGGGGAAUAUUGCACAAUGGGGGGAACCCUGAUGCAGCAACGCCGCGUGAAGGAAGACGGUUUUCGGAUUGUAAACUUCUAUCAAUAGGGACGAAAGAGAUGACGGUACCUAAAUAAGAAGCCCCGGCUAACUACGUGCCAGCAGCCGCGGUAAUACGUAGGGGGCAAGCGUUAUCCGGAAUUACUGGGUGUAAAGGGUGAGUAGGCGGCACGGCAAGUAAGAUGUGAAAGCCCGUGGCUUAACCACGGGAUUGCAUUUUAAACUGUUGAGCUAGAGUACAGGAGAGGGAAGCGGAAUUCCUAGUGUAGCGGUGAAAUGCGUAGAUAUUAGGAAGAACACCAGUGGCGAAAGCGGCUUUCUGGACUGGAAACUGACGCUGAGGCACGAAAGCGUGGGGAGCAAACAGGAUUAGAUACCCUGGUAGUCCACGCUGUAAACGAUGAG